GUAGGUGGCAAGCGUUGUCCGGAAUUAUUGGGCGUAAAUCGCGCGCAGGCGGUUUUUUAAGGUCUGAUGUGAAAGCCCACGGCUCAACCGUGGAGGGUCAUUGGAAACUGGAGAACUUGAGUACAGAAGAGGAAAGCGGAAUUCCACGUGUAGCGGUGAAAUGCGUAGAGAUGUGGAGGAACACCAGUGGCGAAGGCGGCUUUCUGGUCUGUAACUGACGCUGAGGCGCGAAAGCGUGGGGAGCAAACAGGAUUAGAUACCCUGGUAGUCCACGCCGUAAACGAUGAGUGCUAAGUGUUAGGGGGUUUCCGCCCCUUAGUGCUGCAGCUAACGCAUUAAGCACUCCGCCUGGGGAGUACGGCCGCAAAGGCUG
rnacentral:rRNA from 1 species